UACGUAGGGUGCAAGCGUUGUCCGGAAUUAUUGGGCGUAAAGAGCUUGUAGGCGGUUUGUCGCGUCUGCUGUGAAAUUUCGGGGCUCAACCCCGAACUUGCAGUGGGUACGGGCAGACUAGAGUGUGGUAGGGGAGACUGGAAUUCCUGGUGUAGCGGCGAAAUGCGCAGAUAUCAGGAGGAACACCGAUGGCGAAGGCAGGUCUCUGGGCCACUACUGACGCUGAGAAGCGAAAGCAUGGGGAGCGAACAGG
rnacentral:rRNA from 1 species